rnacentral:rRNA from 1 species
AUUGAACGCUGGCGGCAUGCUUUACACAUGCAGGUCGGACGGCAGCACAGAGAAGCUUGCUUCUUGGGUGGCGAGUGGCGAACGGGUGAGUAACAUAUCGGAACGUACCGAUCAGUGGGGGAUAACUAAUCGAAAGAUUAGCUAAUACCGCAUAUUUUCUGAGGAAGAAAGCAGGGGACCUUUUGGCCUUGCGCUGUUUGAGCGGCCGAUAUCUGAUUAGCUAGUUGGGGGGGUAAAGGCCUACCAAGGCGACGAUCAGUAGCGGGUCUGAGAGGAUGAUCCGCCACACUGGGACUGAGACACGGCCCAGACUCCUACGGGAGGCAGCAGUGGGGAAUUUUGGACAAUGGGCGCAAGCCUGAUCCAGCCAUGCCGCGUGUGUGAAGAAGGCCUUCGGGUUGUAAAGGCCUUUUGUCAGGGAAGAAAAGGGCGGGGUUAAUACCCCGGUCUGAUGACGGUACCUGAAGAAUAAGCACCGGCUAACUACGUG